AUGAACGCUGGCGGCGUGCCUAAUACAUGCAAGUCGAGCGAACAGAUGAGGAGCUUGCUCCUCUGACGUUAGCGGCGGACGGGUGAGUAACACGUGGAUAACCUACCUAUAAGACUGGGAUAACUUCGGGAAACCGGAGCUAAUACCGGAUAAUAUAUUGAACCGCAUGGUUCAAUAGUGAAAGACGGUUUUGCUGUCACUUAUAGAUGGAUCCGCGCCGCAUUAGCUAGUUGGUAAGGUAACGGCUUACCAAGGCAACGAUGCGUAGCCGACCUGAGAGGGUGAUCGGCCACACUGGAACUGAGACACGGUCCAGACUCCUACGGGAGGCAGCAGUAGGGAAUCUUCCGCAAUGGGCGAAAGCCUGACGGAGCAACGCCGCGUGAGUAAUGAAGGUCUUCGGAUCGUAAAACUCUGUUAUUAGGGAAGAACAAAUGUGUAAGUAACUAUGCACGUCUUGACGGUACCUAAUCAGAAAGCCACGGCUAACUACGUG
rnacentral:rRNA from 1 species